UACAGAGGGCUCAAGCGUUGUUCGGAUUCAUUGGGCGUAAAGGGUGCGUAGGCGGCGCGGCAAGUCGGGUGUGAAAUCUUGGAGCUUAACUCCGAAACUGCAUUCGAUACUGCCGUGCUUGAGGACUGGAGAGGAGACUGGAAUUUACGGUGUAGCGGUGAAAUGCGUAGAUAUCGUAAGGAAGACCAGUGGCGAAGGCGGGUCUCUGGACAGUUCCUGACACUGAGACACGAAGGCCUGGGGAGCAAACGGG
rnacentral:rRNA from 1 species